GAUGAACGCUAGCUACAGGCUUAACACAUGCAAGUCGAGGGGCAGCGGGAGCUUAGCUUGCUAAGUUUGCCGGCGACCGGCGCACGGGUGAGUAACACGUAUCCAACCUGGCCCAUACUCGGGUAUAGCCUCUCGAAAGGGAGAUUAAUCCCCGAUGUUGUUGUUUCACCGCAUGGUGUACCAACCAAAGAAUUUCGGUAUGGGAUGGGGAUGCGUUCCAUUAGCUUGUUGGCGGGGUAACGGCCCACCAUGGCGACGAUCAGUAGCCGGUCUGAGAGGAUGAACGGCCACAUUGGGACUGAGAUACGGCCCAGACUCCUACGGGAGGCAGCAGUGGGGAAUAUUGGGCAAUGGGGGAAACCCUGACCCAGCAACGCCGCGUGAAGGAAGAAGGCCUUCGGGUUGGUAAACGUUCUUUUAAGUAGGAAGAGUAGAAGACGGUA
rnacentral:rRNA from 1 species